rnacentral:lncRNA from 1 species
GUGAAAUUUUCACUGUAUCACUGGAAAGGAUUAAACUUUAUACAUGCAAAGUAUUUCUUUGGUUGAAAUAAAAGUAAAUACUAUACAAUUUUUUUAAAAGUGCCAAUUUAACAAAGACUAAUAGGGAAAAAUCAAUGGUGGUAUUACACCUAUUUAGGGAAACUCCAUGUGCACUCGUGACCUUAUUGUACUUUCAUUUUUAAAAGUUAUUAAUAAACCAGUUCAUGCAUUGUAAACAUGGACUAUUUGGAAUGGAUUUAGACACAGAAAGCACGUUUGAGGUAAAAUUGCCUUGACAUGGGGGUUUACGGGUGUUUUCUAAGUCAAAUGGGUGAACAGACGAGGCUGUUUUUAGUUUACUGUGUUAAAUUUUAAAUUGCCCUUACAGUUUUGUUUAUACACCAUGUGAAUUUCAGUGUUAACCAUGUUCUGAAGAGCAUUCUAUUGAAAAAUCUUAUAUGUUUAUUGGUCGGCAGAUGACACUUCAGCAUUAAAGUAUGUAUCAACUAUCGUCAUGUUAUUUUUUGUUUUGACGGCAAAAGUUUACAAUUUGCCAGUGUACCGUCUACAUUUUGCACAGACAAUAAAUCAUUUAAACACUUAUUUGCCCUGGAUUUAUACACAUCAGAAUCCAGUUUCACAUACUUAAACUUUAUAAUUCUUACCAAUUUAUUUUUUAUACCAGCAUUCCAAGGGACAUAACCCUUUUUAAAAACAUUUUGAGGUAUUUUUCUAUUACUCUUUCUCCCCAUUUUCUAAUGUAAAAUACAAGAAAGUGGAUUUUUGUGUAAAUCUAUUAGAAUUAAACUGUUAUGAUUAAAUAAAAAGGCUUUAAUACCAGUAACAAUUAAUGAUUGACUGAAAGGGAACCGUUAUUUGUCACACUAGGGGAACAGACCAAAAACUCAUGUUACAUAUAAGGGCUUAUAGAAACUUCCGUGUAGACUGUUAACAUUUAUAGAGACAGUUCUUUCAGCUAAAACACUUUAAUUAUUGAUUUAACAGUACAUUUAUUUCAUUUUUGUAGGAAAGUAAUCACAUUUGUUUUAUUUUUUAGACAAAAGAUAUCAAGUUUUGAUGAAAAAGGAAGGAAGGAAGAAAUAUGGAUCAUAACAGACCAAAAC